ACUCCUACGGGAGGCAGCAGUGGGGAAUAUUGGACAAUGGGGGCAACCCUGAUCCAGCAAUGCCGCGUGUGUGAAGAAGGCCUGCGGGUUGUAAAGCACUUUCAGUAGGGAGGAAACGGUCAGUGUUAAUACCACUGGCAAUUGACGUUACCUACAGAAGAAGCACCGGCUAACUCUGUGCCAGCAGCCGCGGUAAUACAGAGGGUGCAAGCGUUAAUCGGAAUUACUGGGCGUAAAGCGUGCGUAGGCGGCAGAGCAAGUUGGAUGUGAAAGCCCAGGGCUUAACCUUGGAACUGCAUCCAAAACUGCUCCGCUAGAGUAGAGUAGAGGGUAGUGGAAUUUCCGGUGUAGCGGUGAAAUGCGUAGAUAUCGGAAGGAAUACCAGUGGCGAAGGCGGCUAUCUGGACUCAUACUGACGCUGAGGUACGAAAGCGUGGGGAGCAAACAGGAUUAGAUACCCU
rnacentral:rRNA from 1 species